rnacentral:misc_RNA from 1 species
UUAGUUUGGACGUGUCUAAUAAAGUUGGCAAUAAAUGAUAAAUUUGCAAUAAACAAAUGUGUGUCCCAUCGACGACUAAGCGUAACUGAUUCGUAGGCAAUUCAACGUAUCUGUGGUCAGACGAAUAUCGAGUUGCCAACCGGAGAGUUGUGCGUUACGGUCUAUUUUGUGUGAAAAUUAGAUUUUUUAACUCUCAAAAUUAUUGUUCGGAAAGUGUAUGUAAAGUGUUGCAAAUUAUAAAAAAAUAACAAUUUGAGUAUUCAUAUUCGAAUGUAACAACAAUAGCAACAAAUUAAUAUUUGUAAAUUGAAAUAAAAAAGUUUGUGCUCCUGCUUUAUGCCGCUUUGGUAGCUGAUCUUGGAAUUGUUAUACAAAAAGAUUAUUAAUUCAAUUUCGAGGACGUAACGGAACAAAAACGGCGCAUACGAGUGUGUGUUUACAAGAGACUAUAGAUACUACUUGUAUAUAUGUACGUAUGACACGGCAUAUUGACAGCUGAACCGCUAGACGCGCUGAAAAAAGGGUGACUAAAGAGGUUUGCUGAAGGCAAAAGGAAGCGACGACAGUUGUGACACUUUCGCCGACACGACGGGCUGCAAUAGAGAAUAGCGGACAGAAACAAAAACUAGUGAAAUUUACAUACAUAUAUGUAUGUAUAUGAAAAAGGAAGGAAAGGAGUAAAACAGUCAAACGAAAGCGACGCUUGACAGGCGACGAGGCGCCACAAUUGAAAGCACACAUCCAUACAUACACACACACGUAGAGCGAAAUAGUGGCGCGCAUAAACCACAAAAAGGUGGCAGGCAACCGCUAACGGCAUAAGACAACUGUGGAAUGACAUAGAAACAGUUAUUAAUUACUGAGUCGUAAACACGGACAAGCUCACUCCUAAACAUAUUACAAUUAACAUUUAGACGCAAAUACCUAUCUCAAAUGCAGCUGAGGCGUAAAUUUCAAACAUAUCUUAAUUUCUAAAAACACAUAAAAGUACAGUUAUAAGCGCAACUGUGGAAUACUCAAAAAAGUAGCAGCUUAAGUGUUAAAAAACGAUCAACAAUAAGUUAAAUAUUUAUUUACAAACUAAGAACUCAGCACAACAACAAAAUGCGGCUGUUAAUAUUCAUUUUGGCCUGCUUGGCACCCUACAUUAAUGCAUAUCAUGUGUCAGCCGCCUCAGCGGGCGUGUCCUUCAUGAAUGAAAACUAUCUGGACCAGCGAGAGUCACAAGUGUACAACACACAGAAUGCCGCAUCGAAGGCAUUGCGUAAUAGGCGCAUGUACGCCAUGUGUCCGCCACACUUCCAACGUGUCGGCUCCGAGUGCUACUCGUUGCUGCCACAGGCCAGCAGCUGGCUGGAGGCGCACUUCUUCUGCAAAGACAAGAACGCGAAAUUGGCGGAACCACAGAAUAGAGCCGAUCGGAAAUUGCGCGUUUUCCUCAAACAAUACGACGCACAGCGGGGAUUAACUGGUCCCAUUUGGAUUGGCGCCACCUACGAUUGGCAAAGCAAUGUGUGGCAGUGGAGCAUUAGCGGCAAGAACUUAACAUAUGACUCCUUCAGUCGCAUGGAACCUGAGAUCAGACAGAACCUGGAAAACCAUUGUGCUGUGUAUGACCCAAAUCUAGACUAUAGAUGGUCUGCUCGCCCCUGUCCGGAUAGAUUCCGUUUCAUCUGUCAACAUAAAAUGCCAAAAGUCAGCGAGAAGAAUCGAGGCAAGGUCUAUACGCGUUGGAAUGCCACCUACCCCAAUGAGUAUGCGAAUGAAGUCAUAUUGGAAGUGAUGGAUCAGCCGGGCAAAAAUGGACGCAGAUCCAAUGUCAUCGUAAAGGCCGACGGCAGUGACGAACAGAUCGUGCUACCGAAACCACGCGGCAGAGCCGGACACAAUCGUGGACGCACAGGACGUCGUCCAAACCGACCGACCACAAUCCAUCCGAACGAUAUCGAUGCACAAGCGACCUCGAACUCGCCAACUUUGGCACAUUACAACGAAAUACCGGUGCCAGCUACAGCAGCGCCCAACGCGCCCAACGCAGCCAAUCGGGCGCGAAACGGACAAAAGCAAAUGCCGCAUGAUCGUGUCGUAUGGCGACAACGGCAGAAGGAGAAGCGCCGUUUGGAGCGCAAGAGACAGCGCGCACAGCAAAUGCAGAAGGAGAAGGAACGCAAAUGGAACGAACAACGGCUGCGCAUACUGGCGAAUCAAGAGCGUGAACGACAACGGCACCUGCAGGAACAAGAACAACAGGACCAACAACCGAAAUCAUACGAACAAACCGAACAGCCGCGACGUGAACUGGAUGAACUGAGACAGCGCGAAGCCAUCGAUCUGGAACGACAACGCCAGCAGCAACUGGCCGAAGCGGAAGUCAAACGACGCGAAUAUGAAAGUCGGCAUCAAGAAUUGGAAGUGCUGAAGAAGCAACUUGCCGAGGAGAAGAAGAAGCGCGACGAUGAAUAUAGCAGCGCAGAACGCAUACGACAGGAACGUAUCGAACGGCAGCGAGAACGUGAAGAGAAGGAGCGCAAAGAACGUGAGGAACAAAUGAAAAAAGAGCAGGAAGAACGCGCCAAAGAAGAAGCGAAACGUGAACAAGAACGACUGGAGACGGAGCGGCGACAGCUCGAAGAAUACGAAGAACGUUUAAAGCAAGCGCGCGAUGAACGUGAACGUGAACUACACGAACAGCAAGAACGUAAGCGGCAAGAGGACGAGGCCAACCGACGACGCUUGGAGGAAGAAGAGAAGCGGCGGCAAGAAGAGAUUAAACAACAAUUGGAGGAAGAAGAAGAACGCUUGAAACUGGAACAGCUGGAAGAAACACGCAAGCUGGAGCGACAAGAACUAGAACGACUGGCGGAAGAAAAUCGACGACGCGAAGAGAAGCUACGCCAGCGACAGGAGGAGAUCGCCCGCCGCGAAGAGGAGCAACGUAAAAUCGAAGAAGAAGAGGAGCGCAUAAAGAAGGAACUCGAAGAGGCGGAACAACGACGCAAGGCGGAACACGAAGCGCAAAUCAAGCAGGAGGAAGAAGCGGUCAAGGCGCGUGCCGAAGCCGAACAAAGAGCAGCCGAGGAGGAGAAACGUAAGCGCCAAGAGCGUUUCGAUGCGUUGAAAAAGCAAGAUGACGAACGCCUGCGCCAAGAGAAGGAGGAGAAGAAGCGCAAAUAUGCAGAGCGCCUAUCGCGCCUCUCACCGGAAGAUCAGCGCAAAUUCUUCGAAAUGCGCAAACGGCGAAAGGCCAAGAAGACACAAGAAUUGCUGCAACAAAAACAGACAGCCAAUGGCGGCAACGAGGCAUACGAGGAAGAAUAGAGGAGCGGCGGCGGGUGGAAAUUCAACAAAUCAAAAUGGAUAUUAGAAUUUAACGUAAGAAACUCAAAGCUCCACCAAACAGUCGACUGUAUUUAUAUUGGUUUUGCUUGAUCCCCGCAACCUCAUGCGAAAUAUUAUUUAAUUAAAAUAAGUCAUAAGCAUAAAUAUUUUUUUAUAAAUUUAAGUCGUUGCUGCCAUUAUUUCACUUGAAUAGUUGUACUCGUGAACGCUCAAUGUUGUUUUUUAGCUCCUUGCACGCUCUCCAUUUUAUAUUGUCACAUAUACAUAGCUAACAUAUGCAUACAUGCAUUUGUGUAUGUGUGUGUAUAAAUAAGAAAUUGAAAGAAAAUCUUAUAAUUGGUUUGAAAGGAAAUCUUGUUUAAGUCGUAAGAAAAAUUACCGCUAAGGCACUACAUAGUAUUAGCUUUAGUAGCACACGAGCGGCGCUCCAGUGACUUCGUCUACUGCUCGGCAACUGCGCCAGCUACACUCGAUUGUAAAUUUACGAAAAAUUAAUAUUAUUAAUUUAUAAGUGGGCGACAGGCAGCCGAAGAGGAUUAAUAAAAAUUAAAGAAAUACUUCAAAAUUAAUUGAAUAAAAUAAAAAUAAAAA